CUUUUUUAAUGACUUUGUUUAGAGUAACAUUUUCUGGUCUAUUGAAUGCUAUUGAUGGCGUUGGAUGCUCUGAGGAG
rnacentral:snoRNA from 1 species